rnacentral:rRNA from 1 species
UACAGAGGUCUCAAGCGUUGUUCGGAUUCAUUGGGCGUAAAGGGUGCGUAGGCGGCGCGGUAAGGUCGGGUGUGAAAUCUCGGAGCUUAACUCCGAAACUGCAUUCGAUACUGCCGUGCUUGAGGACUGGAGAGGAGACUGGAAUUUACGGUGUAGCGGUGAAAUGCGUAGAUAUCGUAAGGAAGACCAGUGGCGAAGGCGGGUCUCUGGACAGUUCCUGACGCUGAGGCACGAAGGCCCAGGGGGAGCAAACGGG